rnacentral:rRNA from 1 species
UCUAAGUACCCCGAGGAAAAGAAAUCAACCGAGAUUCCCCCAGUAGCGGCGAGCGAACGGGGAGGAGCCCAGAGCCUGAAUCAGCAUGUGUGUUAGUGGAAGCGUCUGGAAAGGCGCGCGAUACAGGGUGACAGCCCCGUACACAAAAGCGCAUGUGCUGUGAGCUCGAUGAGUAGGGCGGGACACGUGGUAUCCUGUCUGAAUAUGGGGGGACCAUCCUCCAAGGCUAAAUACUCCUGACUGACCGAUAGUGAACCAGUACCGUGAGGGAAAGGCGAAAAGAACCCCGGCGAGGGGAGUGAAAAAGAACCUGAAACCGUGUACGUACAAGCAGUGGGAGCACCCUUUGGGGUGUGACUGCGUACCUUUUGUAUAAUGGGUCAGCGACUUAUAUUCUGUAGCAAGGUUAACCGAAUAGGGGAGCCGUAGGGAAACCGAGUCUUAACCGGGCGUUAAGUUGCAGGGUAUAGACCCGAAACCCGGUGAUCUAGCCAUGGGCAGGUUGAAGGUUGGGUAACACUAACUGGAGGACCGAACCGACUAAUGUUGAAAAAUUAGCGGAUGACCUGUGGCUGGGGGUGAAAGGCCAAUCAAACCGGGAGAUAGCUGGUUCUCCCCGAAAGCUAUUUAGGUAGCGCCUCGUGAAUUCAUCUCCGGGGGUAGAGCACUGUUUCGGCUAGGGGGCCAUCCCGGCUUACCAACCCGAUGCAAACUGCGAAUACCGGAGAAUGUUAUCACGGGAGACACACGGCGGGUGCUAACGUCCGUCGUGAAGAGGGAAACAACCCAGACCGCCAGCUAAGGUCCCAAAGUCAUGGUUAAGUGGGAAACGAUGUGGGAAGGCCCAGACAGCCAGGAUGUUGGCUUAGAAGCAGCCAUCAUUUAAAGAAAGCGUAAUAGCUCACUGGUCGAGUCGGCCUGCGCGGAAGAUGUAACGGGGCUAAACCAUGCACCGAAGCUGCGGCAGCGAACGUAUCACCCAAGACAACUUUGCGGAGUUGACGAUUGACGGAGCGAAGCGACGUCAAAGCGUUCAUUAAAGUCGAGUUGGCUUAGGGAUACGUUCGUUGGGUAGGGGAGCGUUCUGUAAGCCAGUGAAGGUGUGUCGUGAGGCAUGCUGGAGGUAUCAGAAGUGCGAAUGCUGACAUAAGUAACGAUAAAGCGGGUGAAAAGCCCGCUCGCCGGAAGACCAAGGGUUCCUGUCCAACGUUAAUCGGGGCAGGGUGAGUCGACCCCUAAGGCGAGGCCGAAAGGCGUAGUCGAUGGGAAACGGGUUAAUAUUCCCGUACUUGGUGUUACUGCGAAGGGGGGACGGAGAAGGCUAUGUUGGCCGGGCGACGGUUGUCCCGGUUUAAGCGUGUAGGUGUGUGUUCCAGGUAAAUCCGGUUCACUUUAACACUGAGGCGUGACGACGAGGCACUACGGUGCUGAAGCAACAAAUGCCCUGCUUCCAGGAAAAGCCUCUAAGCAUCAGGUAACAUCAAAUCGUACCCCAAACCGACACAGGUGGUCAGGUAGAGAAUACCAAGGCGCUUGAGAGAACUCGGGUGAAGGAACUAGGCAAAAUGGUGCCGUAACUUCGGGAGAAGGCACGCUGACACGUAGGUGAAGUGAUUUACUCAUGGAGCUGAAGUCAGUCGAAGAUACCAGCUGGCUGCAACUGUUUAUUAAAAACACAGCACUGUGCAAACACGAAAGUGGACGUAUACGGUGUGACGCCUGCCCGGUGCCGGAAGGUUAAUUGAUGGGGUCAGCGCAAGCGAAGCUCCUGAUCGAAGCCCCGGUAAACGGCGGCCGUAACUAUAACGGUCCUAAGGUAGCGAAAUUCCUUGUCGGGUAAGUUCCGACCUGCACGAAUGGCGUAAUGAUGGCCAGGCUGUCUCCACCCGAGACUCAGUGAAAUUGAACUCGCUGUGAAGAUGCAGUGUACCCGCGGCAAGACGGAAAGACCCCGUGAACCUUUACUAUAGCUUGACACUGAACAUUGAGCCUUGAUGUGUAGGAUAGGUGGGAGGCUUUGAAGCGUGGACGCCAGUCUGCGUGGAGCCGACCUUGAAAUACCACCCUUUAAUGUUUGAUGUUCUAACGUGGACCCGUGAUCCGGGUUGCGGACAGUGUCUGGUGGGUAGUUUGACUGGGGCGGUCUCCUCCUAAAGAGUAACGGAGGAGCACGAAGGUUGGCUAAUCCUGGUCGGACAUCAGGAGGUUAGUGCAAUGGCAUAAGCCAGCUUGACUGCGAGCGUGACGGCGCGAGCAGGUGCGAAAGCAGGUCAUAGUGAUCCGGUGGUUCUGAAUGGAAGGGCCAUCGCUCAACGGAUAAAAGGUACUCCGGGGAUAACAGGCUGAUACCGCCCAAGAGUUCAUAUCGACGGCGGUGUUUGGCACCUCGAUGUCGGCUCAUCACAUCCUGGGGCUGAAGUAGGUCCCAAGGGUAUGGCUGUUCGCCAUUUAAAGUGGUACGCGAGCUGGGUUUAGAACGUCGUGAGACAGUUCGGUCCCUAUCUGCCGUGGGCGCUGGAGAACUGAGGGGGGCUGCUCCUAGUACGAGAGGACCGGAGUGGACGCAUCACUGGUGUUCGGGUUGUCAUGCCAAUGGCACUGCCCGGUAGCUAAAUGCGGAAGAGAUAAGUGCUGAAAGCAUCUAAGCACGAAACUUGCCCCGA